GAUGAACGCUAGCGGCAGGCCUAAUACAUGCAAGUCGAACGGUGUCUUCGGACAUAGUGGCGCACGGGUGCGUAACACGUAUGCAACCUACCUUACAUUGGGGGAUAGCCUUUCGAAAGGGAGAUUAAUACCGCAUAAGACAGUAGCUGGGCAUCCAGCAGCUGUUAAAGAUUUAUCGAUGUAAGCUGGGCAUGCGUCCAAUUCGCUAGUUGGUGAGGUAACGGCUCACCAAGGCAAUGAUUGGUAGGGGAACUGAGAGGUCAAUCCCCCACACUGGCACGUAGAUACGGGCCAGACUCCUACGGGAGGCAGCAGUAGGGAAUAUUGGGCAAUGGACGCAAGUCUGACCCAGCCAUGCCGCGUGCAGGAUGAAGGCGUUAUGCGUUGUAAACUGCUUUUAUACAGGAAGAAACGACUCUUGCGAGAGGCAUUGACGGUACUGUAUGAAUAAGCACCGGCUAACUCCGUGCCAGCAGCCGCAGUAACAC
rnacentral:rRNA from 1 species